UCCCAAGCUGAGCUGAGCAAAAUUUCCUGU
rnacentral:piRNA from 1 species